UACGUAGGGUGCGAGCGUUAAUCGGAAUUACUGGGCGUAAAGCGUGCGCAGGCGGUUCGUUGUGUCGGUGGUGAAAUCCCCGGGCUUAACCUGGGAAUGGCAUUUGGGACUGCAAGGCUCGAGUGCGGCAGAGGAGACUGGAAUUCCUGGUGUAGCAGUGAAAUGCGUAGAUAUCAGGAGGAACACCGGUGGCGAAGGCGGGUCUCUGGGCCGAUACUGACGCUGAGGAGCGAAAGCGUGGGGAGCGAACAGG
rnacentral:rRNA from 1 species